AGAGUUUGAUCCUGGCUCAGGACGAACGCUGGCGGCGUGCUUAACACAUGCAAGUCGAACGAUGAAGCCCUUCGGGGUGGAUUAGUGGCGAACGGGUGAGUAACACGUGGGCAAUCUGCCCUUCACUCUGGGACAAGCCCUGGAAACGGGGUCUAAUACCGGAUAAUACCUGCCUGGGCAUCUGGGUGGGUUGAAAGCUCCGGCGGUGAAGGAUGAGCCCGCGGCCUAUCAGCUUGUUGGUGAGGUAGUGGCUCACCAAGGCGACGACGGGUAGCCGGCCUGAGAGGGCGACCGGCCACACUGGGACUGAGACACGGCCCAGACUCCUACGGGAGGCAGCAGUGGGGAAUAUUGCACAAUGGGCGAAAGCCUGAUGCAGCGACGCCGCGUGAGGGAUGACGGCCUUCGGGUUGUAAACCUCUUUCAGCAGGGAAGAAGCGAAAGUGACGGUACCUGCAGAAGAAGCGCCGGCUAACUACGUGCCAGCAGCCGCGGUAAUACGUAGGGCGCAAGCGUUGUCCGGAAUUAUUGGGCGUAAAGAGCUCGUAGGCGGCUUGUCACGUCGGGUGUGAAAGCCCGGGGCUUAACCCCGGGUCUGCAUUCGAUACGGGCUAGCUAGAGUGUGGUAGGGGAGAUCGGAAUUCCUGGUGUAGCGGUGAAAUGCGCAGAUAUCAGGAGGAACACCGGUGGCGAAGGCGGAUCUCUGGGCCAUUACUGACGCUGAGGAGCGAAAGCGUGGGGAGCGAACAGGAUUAGAUACCCUGGUAGUCCACGCCGUAAACGGUGGGAACUAGGUGUUGGCGACAUUCCACGUCGUCGGUGCCGCAGCUAACGCAUUAAGUUCCCCGCCUGGGGAGUACGGCCGCAAG
rnacentral:rRNA from 1 species